GAUGAACGCUGGCGGCGUGCCUAAUACAUGCAAGUCGAGCGAAUGGAUUAAGAGCUUGCUCUUAUGAAGUUAGCGGCGGACGGGUGAGUAACACGUGGGUAACCUGCCCAUAAGACUGGGAUAACUCCGGGAAACCGGGGCUAAUACCGGAUAACAUUUUGAACCGCAUGGUUCGAAAUUGAAAGGCGGCUUCGGCUGUCACUUAUGGAUGGACCCGCGUCGCAUUAGCUAGUUGGUGAGGUAACGGCUCACCAAGGCAACGAUGCGUAGCCGACCUGAGAGGGUGAUCGGCCACGCUGGGACGGAGACCAGGCCCAGACUCCUACGGGAGGUAGCAGUAGGGAAUCUUCCGCAAUGGACGAAAGUCUGACGGAGCAACGCCGCGUGAGUGAUGAAGGCUUUCGGGUCGUAAAACUCUGUUGUUAGGGAAGAACAAGUGCUAGUUGAAUAAGCUGGCACCUUGACGGUACCUAACCAGAAAGCCACGGCUAACUACGUGCCAGCCGCCGCAGUAA
rnacentral:rRNA from 1 species